rnacentral:lncRNA from 1 species
GGUGAAACUUGCCCUGUAUGCUGCUCAUUAGCGUACGAGUGCACAAGUGUUUAGAUCAAGCAAAGAGAUCAAAACCCAUACUAGAGGGCACGUUCCCACUGAUCCCAAUGUGAUCAGAUAAUGGAGGUGUCAACCAGGGAUCCCGAGAACCACCAGACCACCACCAACCCUCCUGGGAUCACCAGAUUGAUGCCAGCUCCUCCCCAAGCUUCCUUCGAAAGAGCCCGAAUUCUCCCUGAAAUGUGGGCUCCUUGCUCUUCUAAAUAAA